GAGAGUCAGAAAACAGUAGAAAUGAUAGAUGGACAUAUAGUGGAUAAGCAGCAUUACUUGGUGUUGGAUUUCUACUUUUAAUUCAAUGGUGGGAAUGAUAUAACCACUCUCUGUACCUCUUAAGGGGAGUUGUACAGGUUCCAGCCGUCUGUUAAAUUAAGCAUAAGUGAUUGUUAUGAACAUGUAGAGCAGACAAGUGGGAUGAUAACUGUGCAUAUAACAAAGCCCUAUGAGCCUACUUGAUUUGCAAAGUUGGAUACCCAAUUAGAAGAACUGAAGGAUUUUUUUUUUCUGUAGUACAGUCUCCCUCACUGCAAAGUUCAAUGGCCAGAAUAAUUGCCUUCAAUUCUUCCAUAUCAGAUACAGUAAAUUCUGUGUUUGAAACAGUGAAAUGCUGGAAAAGAUCCAGAUAGCUAUGUAUUUUAUUUAAAUGCUUUAAUAUGUUGAUACUUUUCUGGCAGUCACUUCCUCUGCUGGCUGCUUCUGUCUUGGUGGUACUUUGAAAAUCAGGAGAUAAUAAAUCAGACUCUCUUAAAGAGAGAAGUUUUGAUUACUAACAAAACCCAAACAGAACAAGACAUAGCACUCCAUGUGACAAACGUGGAAAACAUACAUAAUUGUACUCUUUCAAACAGGAAGCUUCUGAAGGGCCUUUCUGCUUGUGAGGCUGUUACAAAUCAGCAAAUCUUGUGUUUCUGCAGCUUUUCAGACAAUGCACCCCACUUUCUGGCUAUCUGCUAUUAGGGAAGAACUGCUGUCCCACUUGAAGUCACAUCACUUCGCCUUCCCACUCAUCUGCUCUGUGCCCAGGCUGCAGUGGUGCAGGGAAGCUUGAAAGGAAAGCACAAUGAAGAGUAAGUAUUAAUAAGCAGGCUAUGGUCUUAUUUCCAAAUAGGACCUUCACACGCAGGAUGCAAAGUUAAAAGCAUCUGUUGUUCACUACAGACAAUAAUGACAAACAGAUGUCAAUUUCUUUGAAUAGCCACCGGCUCUGUGCUUGAUUCUGUAAGUAUUAAUGAGAUAUUUUAUUUCCUUUGUUCACAAUUCCUGCAUGGAGAUGUACAAGGAAAAUAAUAGCUUUAAUUAUCUUCUUACAGUGGGCUGGAG
ensembl:lncRNA